rnacentral:rRNA from 1 species
UAGGGAAUCUUCCGCAAUGGACGCAAGUCUGACGGAGCAACGCCGCGUGAGUGAAGAAGGAUUUCGGUUCGUAAAACUCUGUUGUUAGAGAAGAACAGCGCAUAGAGUAACUGUUAUGCGUGUGACGGUAUCUAACCAGAAAGCCACGGCUAACUACGUGCCAGCAGCCGCGGUAAUACGUAGGUGGCAAGCGUUGUCCGGAUUUAUUGGGCGUAAAGCGAGCGCAGGCGGUCAAUUAAGUCUGAUGUGAAAGCCCCCGGCUCAACCGGGGAGGGUCAUUGGAAACUGGUUAACUUGAGUGCAGAAGAGGAGAGUGGAAUUCAAUGUGUAACGGUGAAAUGCGUAGAUAUAUGGAAGAACACCAGUGGCGAAGGCGACUCUCUGGUCUGUAACUGACGCUGAGGCUCGAAAGCGUGGGUAGCAAACAGG